UCUUACAGCGAGCGGUCUACUCCGAACUCCUACAGCGGGCAGUCUACUCCGAACUCCUAUAGUGGGUGGUCUACUCCGGAUCUGUACUGUAAGAAAAUUUCAUUCGAGCCCCUACUGUGAACACAUCUUUUUCGAACUUCCAUUACAGGUAGACCUCAGCCGAGCUUCUUCGUAGUCGGAUUCCAGACGAGCUUCUACAGUGAGACAGGACCUACCGGCC
rnacentral:lncRNA from 1 species